UCUCGAGUAGUAUAGUGGUGAGUAUCCCCGCCUGUCAUUGGCUGGUGCCUAAGUCCGCGGGAGACCGGGGUUCAAUUCCCCGCUCGAGAG